rnacentral:lncRNA from 1 species
GUGGCUUUUUGAGGUCCCUUCCAGACUUGUAUCUUUUUUUUUAAGUGCUAAGAAGACCAGGGUUGGGGGUGUGUUGGGGGUAGGGGUUGCAAUUGGAGAUUUAAAAAAAAAUUAAAAACUUAAAUCAUUAGAGAAUAAUGGUUGGUUUAGGUGUGGCCUUAUGGACAGAAAUGUGCACAAAACCCAGAAAACAUAAACAAGGGAAGCACUGGGAGGUCCCAUUGAAAGGAGCUGAGAGCAGGAGGAGGGGAGACGAUCUCACAGUCUAGUCCUAGAAUGGAGCUAAAUAUUUUUCCUGAUGUCUUUCAAAAAAAAAGUUUUAGCCAUCUUUUAGAGACAGAGAUGAUUGUUGCUAUUUAUGAGCACCAGGUUGCUAGGUGACAUCAUGGAACGUGCACUGUUAAACUGCUACCCACUGAUCUUCUAGGACUAGCAAUGAAGGGUAUACAUGGGGAACCAGAUAGAGGGAAGAAAGUCAGGAAAGGGAAGUGCAAGGGGUUGUAGGGAAGAAAUGAGGCAGGGGGUCCUCUUUUUUGCUUGCCCUUCAUUUUGGUAAAAUGAAUCCCUCUUCAGAAACCCCAGACCCCUCCUCCUCCUCCUCCUCCACACACACACACACACACACAAUUUCCCCUGCUCUUCCGCUUUGGGUCCCCUUGUUACUGGCAGCCUCAUUCGCUGUUAUGACAUUUGGCCUCCUCGGGGAGAAUGAUGGAACAGCUUCUUGCAGAAACAUGACCAAUGAAUCACCCUGGGGAGGAAGCCGAGGAGUCGGCCCCCCACGCACAGAGCCAAGGACCAACAUCGCAGCAGCUAGACUAGGAAGAGAAUAUACCAGAUUGUUGCUUGCUGCUACCUCUUCUCCAAGCAGAACAUUUAUAUAGGUUCAAAUUUCCCUUCCUGAGGCAGUGAAGUAGCCCAGUGGAGACAGCACCGGGCCUAGCGUCAGGAAGACCUGAGUUCAAUCUGACCCCAGACACUUACUAGCUGUGUGACCCUGGGCAAGUCACAUAACUCUGUUUACCUUAGUUUCCUCAACUGUAAAAUGAGCUGGAAAAUGAAAUGGCACAUCACUCCAGUAUCUUUGCUAAGAAAAUCCCAAAUGGGGUCCCUGAAGAAUCGAACAUGAAUGAAAUGAUGGAACACAUGAACAAUUUCCCUUCCUACAAGAAUAGCCAUGUGGCAAAAUGGAUAGCAUACUGGGCCUAAAGUCAGGAAGAUGAGUCUUCCUGAGUUCAAAUAAGGCCUCAGACACUAGCUGUGUGACUGUGGGCAAGUCAUUUACCCCUGUUUGUCUCAGUUUCCUCAUCUGUAAAAUGAGCUGGAGAAGAAAAUGGCAAAACCACUCCAGUACCUCCAGUAUCCAGCCAAGAAAACCUCAAAUGGGUUCACAAAGAGCUGGACAUGACUGAACAACAACAGCAUAAGCAAUACUUUUAGCUGCUAGAAUGCUGCUCACACUUCCCAUGAGAGGUAGUGUGAUGUGGUAGAGAGAAUGUUGAAUAAACAUCAGCAGACCUGGGUUCUAGCCUCA